rnacentral:rRNA from 1 species
UACCAGCACCCCGAGUGGUCGGGACGUUUAUUGGGCCUAAAGCAUCCGUAGCCGGUUCUACAAGUCUUCCGUUAAAUCCACCUGCUUAACAGAUGGGCUGCGGAAGAUACUAUAGAGCUAGGAGGCGGGAGAGGCAAGCGGUACUCGAUGGGUAGGGGUAAAAUCCGUUGAUCCAUUGAAGGCCACCAGUGGCGAAGGCGGCUUGCCAGAACGCGCUCGACGGUGAGGGAUGAAAGCUGGGGGAGCAAACCGG